ensembl:lncRNA LINC02207 long intergenic non-protein coding RNA 2207
CUUCGAGCAGAUCCCAGCAUGAAUCCUGCAGUAUGGUGAUGGCAAAAGUCAGUGCAGGACCACUGGGACUCCUGGAGCUUCUCACAUCUCUGAGAGCACCAGCAGCAGCCAGCUCUCCUCUGCCGUUUGCCAUGAGUGGAAGCAGCCUGAGGCCUCACCUGAUGCAGAUGCCACUGCCAUGCUUCUAGUAGAGCCCACAGAACCAUGAGCCAAACAAACCUUUCUUCUUAUUGUUUUUCUUCCCAACUUUUGUUUUAGUUGGGAAAUAAAGGCCCAGUGGAGUGUUUUCUCCACUGUGUUGUGACAGUGGGCCAUGAACUUGCCUCAUCUUCCUAAUAGUUAUCUACUACUUAAUGUCCGAAGAAACAUAUGUAUUGGCUUGACUAAUGUUACAUUUAUGUUGUUAAGAAACAUGUACUCAGGGGCUACAUGUGCAGGUUUGCUACAUGGGUAAAUUUCAUACCAUAGGAGUUUGGUGUACAGAUUAUUUUGUCAUCCAGGAAAUAAGCAUAGCAUCUAUAGAUAGCAGAUGACUGGUAGGAAGAUGAGGCAAGUUUGCGGUCCAUUGUCAUGGAUAGUGGAGACAACACUGGGCCAGAAGUGGUAAGACCUGAAUCCAAGACUCAGCUCUGCCACUUGCUAAAUGGGACUUUGAAUAAACCAUUUCUCUGCACUUAAGUUCCUUACCAACAAAACGAGGGAAGUGGCCUACAUGCCUAGAUAUCAACAUUUCAUGUCACGUAGAGAUCUAGCAUCACAAGAAUCCAAGUCAUCCUCUGUUGCCUUUAAGAAAUUAGAAUUAAAGGAAUCAGAAUUGAAGUGAAUCUGACUACACUAAGCCUAUCACUUGUGACAGCCAUGGGAAGAUAUCAUUGGUUGCUGAGGAGCAGAAAUAAGCAGAGACCUAUUGUGUUAGGUUAUCAUUCAUUUCAGACAAAAAGCAGAUCAGCAAGUUUUCAUAUUGCACUAUUUUCAAUGGCUGGAGCAUCAACAUUUUACAACAAGAAAAAAAUUAAAAUUCUUCAACAUUUGGAAAAGAAGUGUUUGUAAAACUUUUCACAUCCAUUCACCAUCCGGAAAAGCAAGGUUUUACAGUGAGGCCUGAUGAUGUCUAGAGUCACCAUGCAUCUUGGAAAAUGACCUCCUAUUUAUUUCUUCUACAGGACACCAUGGUGUUCACCUUUCUACAACUUUACACUUGCUGAGGACAUAUUGUGGAAAAUUAAGAGAAAUAUAUAUGGAUGGCCAAGGCUGUA